AUGGGCUUCUUGCCGAUGAUGUACGCAUCACUCUCUCUGCUGCUACUAGGUUCACUAGGAAAGCUAAUGGUGCUAGCAUCUGGAGUUGUAACAAGCCACAACCCAGAAGGGAAUUGGGCACAUCCAUCACUUGCCACACUUGAUGGUUGCCCCAAGAGCUGUGGCAAUCUGAGCUUCGACUACCCCUUUGGCAUGGGAUCAAGGUGCUCUCGGGAUCCUGACUUCAGCCUCAUUUGCAAUGACACUGCUCAGCCUCCCAGGCUCUUCUUGUGCGACGGAAUCACCGAGGUGAUCGACAACAUCGUUGUUGGUAGCGGUGGGGAUUACUACCACACUCACAAAAGCAUCAGUACCUCCUUCUGGCGUACCAUCCCCAUGAAAUCUGGUGUCCAUGUCUACUACUUGUCUUUCCAACCUCCUGGUAGAUCCUUCAGCCGUGGGGAAACCAUUCUGAACAUCACUGGUUGCGACCUGGAUGUGUAUUGGGUCAACAACAACACACACAGAACAACAUGGAUCUGUACGACUGUGUGCCCGGACCAAGUUAUCACAGAGACCAUGGCUAGGCUCAAGUGCAGUGGCAUUGGAUGUUGCAGUUUUCCUGUCACUGGCCUGCUUCCUGAUGCUUUUCAACUCAAAUUUGUCCACCACCACGGCAAAACUAGCACUGGAACACGCUCAAACCAGACCUCUAUGCUGUGGGAUAGAAUCAGCAUAAGUGAUGGUGGCGGCGGCACAGUUUUGUGGAAUAUAGUGGAUCAACAAAAUUGUGCUAGCGCCAUGCGAAACAGGACAAGGUAUGCUUGUAUCGGCAAGCAUUCCUUGUGCGGCGACCAUAGCGUGACAUCAACUGACGGCUACAACUGCAUCUGCAGUGCCGGCUAUGCAGGCAACCCCUUCAUUCAAGAUGGCUGUUCCAGAGACAAAGGGUAUAAUCCAAUUCCGAGCAGAGCUAAUUGUACCCGUUGGUGUGGUAACAUUAGUGUGCCGUACCCAUUCGGCUUAGAAGAGGGUUGCUUUGCCAGGGAAGAAUUCCAGCUCAACUGUACAAAUAUGGCAUCAUCAGCUGUCCUAAUGUUUGGGCUUGACCAGGUUAUGGACCUGAAUGUUUACCAAGGGACCAUUAAGUCCAUCUGGCCUGACCAACAAGGUGCAUCAUUUUACCACAUAUUUAGCAGGCGUGCUCUUUUUGUUGGAUAUGGCUACUUCUAUUCUAUGCAGUGGGUUGCAGCUAAUCUAAGUUGCAUAGAGGCCCAACGGAAUAUAUCUGGUUAUGCUUGUGUAAGUACCAACAGCAAGUGUGUAGCAGUAGAUGGUGAAUGGAGCUACAUUGGGUACCGCUGUAAAUGCUCGGAUGGUUUCCGAGGAAAUCCAUACACCCAAAGUGGUUGUCAAGGGUAUAAUCCAAUUCCGAGCAGAGCUAAUUGUACCCGUUGGUGUGGUAACAUUAGUGUGCCGUACCCAUUCGGCUUAGAAGAGGGUUGCUUUGCCAGGGAAGAAUUCCAGCUCAACUGUACAAAUAUGGCAUCAUCAGCUGUCCUAAUGUUUGGGCUUGACCAGGUUAUGGACCUGAAUGUUUACCAAGGGACCAUUAAGUCCAUCUGGCCUGACCAACAAGGUGCAUCAUUUUACCACAUAUUUAGCAGGCGUGCUCUUUUUGUUGGAUAUGGCUACUUCUAUUCUAUGCAGUGGGUUGCAGCUAAUCUAAGUUGCAUAGAGGCCCAACGGAAUAUAUCUGGUUAUGCUUGUGUAAGUACCAACAGCAAGUGUGUAGCAGUAGAUGGUGAAUGGAGCUACAUUGGGUACCGCUGUAAAUGCUCGGAUGGUUUCCGAGGAAAUCCAUACACCCAAAGUGGUUGUCAAGAUAUUGAUGAAUGCCUUCAACCAAACAUUUGUAAAGGGAUAUGCCAUAAUAUUGAAGGCAGCUUCUAUUGUACUGAAUGUCCUCACAAGACCGAGUACGAUAUACACAAAAUGCAAUGUACAACAACAAAACAACAUAUUCUGCUUUCAGCAUUCUAGCUCUGAGUUUUGGUACAGUAUUUCUCAUUCGUAUAUGGAAAAGAAAUGUUCAACGACAACUACGGAAGAAUUAUUUUCGGAAUAACCAAGGUCUUCUCCUAGAAACAUUGAUAUCAUCUGAUGAAAGUGCAAAUGACAAAACAAAGAUUUUCUCAUUAGAAGAGCUAGAGAAAGCAACAGACAACUUUGAUACGGCCCGCAUCAUUGGCUCUGGGGGGCAUGGCAUGGUUUAUAAAGGCAUGUUAUCUGAUCAACGUGUGGUUGCAAGAAAAAAGUCCAAGGUCAUUAAAAAGGCUGAGAUCACUCAAUUCAUCAAUGAGGUCGCUAUCCUCUCACAAGUAAAUCAUAGAAACAUUGUGAAGCUCUUUGGGUGUUGUCUGGAAACUGAGGUUCCACUGCUCGUGUAUGAAUAUAUAUCUUGUGGCUCACUGUCUCAAGUCUUAAAUGCUGACUCAAGCACUAGUUUUUCUUUGUCCUGGGAUGAUUACUUAAGGAUUGCCACGGAAACAGCAGGAGCACUAUCUUAUCUCCACUCAGCGGCUUCAAUAUCAAUCUUCCAUCGUGAUGUGAAAUCGUCAAACAUACUCCUGGAUGGGAACUACAGAGUUAAAGUUUCAGAUUUUGGUGCUUCUAGAUUGGUUCCAGUUGAUCAAACACACAUUGUUACAAAUGUGCAAGGUACAUUUGGGUACUUAGAUCCAGAGUACUUCCAUACCAGGCAGUUAAAUGAGAAGAGUGACGUGUAUAGUUUUGGUGUGGUACUAGUGGAGUUGCUUCUUAGAAUGAAGCCUAUCAUCAGGAGUGAAUCAGGCACAAUGCAGAACUUGUCACACUACUUUAUAAGGGCAUUGAACGAGGGAGGGAUCGCCGACAUACUGAACUCUGAAGUCCUUGAGGAAGCAACUAAGGAUGAGAUCAUCGAUGUUGCCAGUCUUGCAGAGUUGUGCUUAAGACUGCGUGGUGAAGAAAGACCCACCAUGAAACAAGUUGAGGUUGAGUUGCAGAUAUUACGAACAAGAAGGGCAAACUCAUGUCAAGCGAAUGUAAUAAAUGAAGAACAAACACAACCAAUGUUGUUAACUCGAGGAGUUAAAGUUGCUUUCCAGUCGUCAGCCACGUUAGUGGAUUGCAGAUACAACUUAGAGUCAAGAGACAGCCAAGGUUGCUACGACCUGCAGGAAGAGUUCAUGGCAUCAGCUAGUCUAGCACGCUAG
rnacentral:rRNA from 1 species